rnacentral:rRNA from 1 species
GACGAACGCUGGCGGCGUGCCUAAUACAUGCAAGUUGAGCGCUGAAGGCUGGUACUUGUACCAACUGGGUGAGCAGCGAACGGGUGAGUAACGCGUGGGGAAUCUGCCUUUGAGCGGGGGACAACAUUUGGAAACGAAUGCUAAUACCGCAUAAAAACUUUAAACACAAGUUUUAAGUUUGAAAGAUGCAAUUGCAUCACUCAAAGAUGAUCCCGCGUUGUAUUAGCUAGUUGGUGAGGUACAGGCUCACCAAGGCGAGGUUACAUAGCCGACCUGAGAGGGUGAUCGGCCACAUUGGGACGGUGACACGGCCCAAACGCAUACGGGAGGCAGCAGUAGGGAAUCGUCGGCAAGGGACGAAAGUCUGACCGAGCAACGCGGCGUGAGGAAGGAAGGUUGUCGGAUCGUAAAACUCUGUUGGUAGAGAAGAACGUUGGUGAGAGUGGAAAGCUCACCAAGUGACGGUAACUACCCAGAAAGGGACGGCUAACUACGUG